rnacentral:lncRNA from 1 species
AACAGGCGCGACAGAAGAUUCAGUGGAUUUGGGAGCGGGUAACAGAGGCAAGCGUUGUGAGAAAGUGGAUUGGAAAGAGAGGUUGUGAGAAGGAAAACGAGAAGAGAAAGGUUGAUGAGAAAUAGAGAAAUGAGGUUUUAUUGAGCAAUGGGUUGUGAAAGAAGAACAGAGAGUUGAAAGUGUAGAAGCAGUUGCAGAAGCCAUUUUGAAGAAGAGAGAACUUCCUCUCUCUCUCUCUCAAC